GAUGAACGCUGGCGGCGUGCCUAAUACAUGCAAGUCGAGCGAAUGGAUUAAGAGCUUGCUCUUAUGAAGUUAGCGGCGGACGGGUGAGUAACACGUGGGUAACCUGCCCAUAAGACUGGGAUAACUCCGGGAAACCGGGGCUAAUACCGGAUAACAUUUUGAACCGCAUGGUUCGAAAUUGAAAGGCGGCUUCGGCUGUCACUGAUGGCUGGACCCGCGUCGCAUUAGCUAGUUGGUGAGGUAACGGCUCACCAAGGCAACGAUGCGUAGCCGACCUGAGAGGGUGAUCGGCCACACUGGGACUGAGACACGGCCCAGACUCCUACGGGAGGCAGCAGUAGGGAAUCUUCCGCAAUGGACGAAAGUCUGACGGAGCAACGCCGCGUGAGUGAUGAAGGCUUUCGGGUCGUAAAACUCUGUUGUUAGGGAAGAACAAGUGCUAGUUGAAUAAGCUGACACCUUGACGGUACCUAACCAGAAAGCCACGGCUAACUACGUGCCAGCAGCCGCAGUAA
rnacentral:rRNA from 1 species